rnacentral:rRNA from 1 species
CUUCGGGAUAAGCCUGGGAAACUGGGUCUAAUACCGGAUAUGACCAAGGACUGCAUGGUUUUUGGUGGAAAGGUUUACUGGUGCAGGAUGAGCCCGCGGCCUAUCAGCUUGUUGGUGGGGUAAUGGCCUACCAAGGCGACGACGGGUAGCCGGCCUGAGAGGGCGACCGGCCACACUGGGACUGAGACACGGCCCAGACUCCUACGGGAGGCAGCAGUGGGGAAUAUUGCACAAUGGGCGAAAGCCUGAUGCAGCGACGCCGCGUGAGGGAUGACGGCCUUCGGGUUGUAAACCUCUUUCAGCAGGGACGAAGCGCAAGUGACGGUACCUGCAGAAGAAGCACCGGCCAACUACGUGCCAGCAGCCGCGGUAAUACGUAGGGUGCGAGCGUUGUCCGGAAUUACUGGGCGUAAAGAGCUCGUAGGCGGUUUGUCGCGUCGUCUGUGAAAACCCGCAGCUCAACUGCGGGCUUGCAGGCGAUACGGGCAGACUUGAGUACUGCAGGGGAGACUGGAAUUCCUGGUGUAGCGGUGAAAUGCGCAGAUAUCAGGAGGAACACCGGUGGCGAAGGCGGGUCUCUGGGCAGUAACUGACGCUGAGGAGCGAAAGCGUGGGUAGCGAACAGGAUUAGAUACCCUGGUAGUCCACGCCGUAAACGGUGGGCGCUAGGUGUGGGUUUCCUUCCACGGGAUCCGUGCCGUAGCUAACGCAUUAAGCGCCCCGCCUGGGGAGUACGGCCGCAAGGCUAAAA